rnacentral:rRNA from 1 species
AUUGAACGCUGGCGGCAUGCUUUACACAUGCAAGUCGAACGGCAGCGCGGGCUUCGGCCUGGUGGCGAGUGGCGAACGGGUGAGUAAUAUAUCGGAACGUACCCAAGAGUGGGGGAUAACGUAGCGAAAGUUACGCUAAUACCGCAUACGAUCUAAGGAUGAAAGCAGGGGAUCGCAAGACCUUGUGCUCCUGGAGCGGCCGAUAUCUGAUUAGCUAGUUGGUGAGGUAAAGGCUCACCAAGGCAACGAUCAGUAGCUGGUCUGAGAGGACGACCAGCCACACUGGAACUGAGACACGGUCCAGACUCCUACGGGAGGCAGCAGUGGGGAAUUUUGGACAAUGGGGGCAACCCUGAUCCAGCAAUGCCGCGUGAGUGAAGAAGGCCUUCGGGUUGUAAAGCUCUUUUGUCAGGGAAGAAAAGGCUGUGGCUAAUAUCCACAGCUGCUGACGGUACCUGAAGAAUAAGCACCGGCUAACUACGUGCCAGCCGCCGCGGUAAUAC